rnacentral:tRNA from 1 species
CAAAAAUGUAGGUUAAACUCCUUCUCUUACUA